GCUAGAGUUAAGAGCUCCGGGGUACUGGUUAGUUCAUAAUGUUGUUCCACCUAUAGAGUGGGGCGCUUUUUAAAUGGAUUCUCACUUCCAUAUCUGCACUUCUGGGAUGGUGUCACGGGUGUGUGGUACAGAGAAAAGACCAGACCACAGAACCCAGCGCAACCCUGGGCUUUGUAAUUCCCCCAACCUCGGUUACUUCUGCUUUCAGAGGCAAAGGGAGGGAAAAACAUUGUACCAGGUUUUCUGGGCCUUCCCCGCUGUGUUCUUAGGUCCCCCAGCUCUGUAGAUUCACCUGGCCGGGUGUGGUAAGGAGGCAGGGUGUGGUGCAAGAGCCUCCCAGGUCUCAUCAUCUUACCUGGGGUCAUUACUAGAGCCUGCUCCAAAUUUUGUGUUGGCCACAGCAGCCAUUGGGCUUCACAUACAGCACUGUGGACACUUGGAGUGCUGGAGGGGCUUCCUGUGCUGGGCCUUAAGUAGCACCCCUGGUCUCCACACAGCAGCAGCAGCAGCAGCAGCAGCAGCAGCAGCAGCAGCAGCAUGUCCCUUAUGUACUUCCAGGGAUGCUCCAUGUUCCCUUGGUGGUGGAGGUGCUGGUGGUCCCCUCUGCUGGGAGAAGGCCUCCAGGCCUUUGACAUGGCUGACAUCCAGAUGACACAGAAAUGGAAUCUGCAGAUCUGGAGUGUGGCCAGAUCACUCCACUGAAAGAGGGAUGCUGAAGGCUUUCUUCUGUGCGCUGAUCUCCCGGAAGCUCGGGAUCGGGAGGACAGGAGUGGGCCCACACACUCUACUGUGCACUUCUGCAUUUCAAUACAGGCUUCAGACUGACUCAUGGGAAAGACCCUUGGAGCAGGCAGCACCAAAGUCUGGGAGUGGCCUUUCUUGCUAGGGUUUUUCCUCGGCUCGAGGGACCUUUAGGGUAAACACAGACAGUUCCCGGAAGCUGCUGAGAGUGGAUCUGGGUGCUGAGAGUAUCCACUGAGGGGCUCUGGGGCUAAAGCAUAGAGGCCUGAGAUAUGGGCUGUGGUCUUCCCUGGGGUGAGAGGAAGAAGAUGUGUCUUGCUUGGCCUGGCACAUAGUAGGCGGUCACUGAUCAGGCCUCUCCUGCCAUCCUGGAGGCUGGCCAUUAAAAGGUAUUCUGUCUCCCUCCUCCCUGAGUCUUGGGAGCUGGUCCCACAAGGUGCCCACUAGCUGCAAACAGCUCUCAGUCUCAGGCUGGGUGACAGAGUGCCACAAGCAUCAUCUUUGCUGCUACUCCCUCUGUCAGAGAGGGUGACCGGUGACGCGGGAGAUGGAAUUAGGGACAGAAAAGAUGUGCAGGGGACAGUGGAACCAGAUAAAGGACCCUGGAGCCAGGGCUCUAGUCCUGAAGGAGACUUAGGUUUCUCAGACUCUCCCUGUUGCCUCUAGUUCCCACAAGGGGCUCGUACCUAACAGACGAGAUGCUGAGAUCCAGCGCUAUGGACCCUUCGGACAUAACUUCCAGUUCUCAGAGCCAGGUUGACUCCAUCACAAAGCAGAGAAAAGGAGAAAGUCGAGAGCAGGGCCCAGGAGAGGCAUGUCCAUGGAUGGGGUUUCCUCAGGCAAGGUGACCAGUAGAUGUCUGAGGUCAAAUGUGAUAGGAAUCCAGGGGGAGGAAGAACAGGUAGGUGCCAGGCAGGGCUGGAACUAUAUCCAACCUGUGCCAGCCAAGGAGCCAGCUCUACCCCAGCCUCCAGGGCUGCUCACAGACAGUGCUGCUGGCUUGGCAGGUGUGGAAGGAGGUUCUGGACCCUGGACCCUGACUGGGCCAACCUGGAAUCUUCCUGGGUUAUUUCCAGAAGUAGAGAUGGAAUGUUCCAGAUUCCCACACUAAGGAGGGUAGCUGGUCAAGAUACUGCUCCUAAGAUGUCUCAAAGCAGGUUCCUGCACCCACGCCCCAGCUGCCCUGAGUCCCCCUGAGUGCUCUGAGCUCUCCAUCCUGCCUUGGGGCUUCCUGCCUGGCGUAGACUGCCAUCCUGGGAUGUGUGUGCUUGGACAUAGGCAGCAGAACAACUGUAAGUCUCUGGCUUUGCACUCAGUAACUCCAUGCCCUUGGAUGCUUCCUCUCCACGGAUCCCCUCAACUACCCUGCUGAGAAGGCAGAAGAGCUGCUCAGGGUGGUUCUGGUCAACUCAAAGGGGAAGGGUCUCAGUUCGUCCCUCCGUCCCUCCCUCCCUCUGUCCCUCCCUCCUUCCAUCCCUCCCUGAUACUGGGAAAAUAGCCUUCAAGGCCAGAACUCAAGUAGCUGUCCUUGGUCGCAGGAUAAAGACCUGGGGUUGGUUUCUGGGAGUCUUGGAAGCUCCCAGGUCAGCACUGGGGAGAAAACCCAGGGGUUAGGUGUGACUGCGGGAGGUUUGAGGGUUAAAGCAGCCUGGGCCCAGGUGGGGCCCAAUGGAACAUUGUUCAAAGCAGUGACUUGUGAUUCAUACUUGGAGAACCCCUCUGUCGAAGGAACCAGGGCAUUGAGAAUUGGCAAGCCCUUGGGAUGACACGUCUCAAAAGCCUCUUCCUUCUGCUUCCUCUUCUGCUUUGGGCGUGUCCCUUCAAUACUUCCUUUGCUAGGACUGGAGGCCUCUUGCUGUCUUGUGUACGAUAGGUCAACUCCAUAGAAACUUCUGUUUCGCGUCUCCCUUGGCAUUAGUAAGGCCCAAAUGUGGGGAAAGGAGGACAGAGCUCUCCUCUGAGGGACAGAUGAUGGCAAGAGGAAGGCAGAGGGGCUGAGGCUUGACCUUGAGCGCUGAUGUGGGAUCAGGUAUCCUGUUAACACACGAUAAACCCAACAGACAGCUAGGUGUGUGGAAGCAGGCAACCAUACUGACAAUCCCAAGGAGACAGACCAUGCAAUCACCAGUACAGAGGUAGCUUAUCAAAGCUGGGGCAACCUUUGUGUCCUUUAGUGUCAUGGAGAAUAAUGACUGUUGGGGUUAGAGGGACAGCUCAGCAGUUAAUGACACUGGUUGCGCUUACAGAGGACCUGAGUUCAAUUCCCAGCAUCCACAUGGUGGCUCACAGUGUUUUGAACUCCAGUUCCAGGAACUCCUGUGAGUACCAGGACAGACAUACCUAAAAGCAUACCCGAGGGCUGGAGAGAUGGCUCAGCGGGUAAGAGCACUGACUGCUCUUAAGAAGGUCCUAAGUUCAAAUGCCAGCAACCACAUGGUGGCUCACAACCACCCAUAGUGAGAUCUGAUGCCCUCUUCUGGCAUAUCUAAAAGACAGCUACAAUGUACUUAUUUAUAAUAAAUCACUGGGCCUGAGUGAGUGGGGUUGACCGGAGCAGAGCGAGCAGAGGUCCUAAAUUCAAUUCCCAAUGUCCACUCGAAGGCUCACAACCAUCUGUACAGCUACAGUGUACUCAUAUACAUGAAAUAAAUCUUUAAAAAAAAAAAAAAGAAAGAGGAAUGAAUGUUUGACAAGAACAUACCAAGGAUGCAAAAACCUAUAAGUCCUGAAUAGAGGCACGUGCUGAUCUUAAGUGAACUUGACAUGAGCUAGAGCCAACUUAAAGGAGGGAACCUCAGCUGAGAAAAUGUCUCCAUAAGAUCCAGCUGUAAGGCAUUUUCUCAGUUAGUGAUCAAUGGGGGAGGGACCAUCCCAUGGUGGGUGGUGCCACUUCUUCGCUGGUGGUCCUGGGCUGUAUAAGAAAGCAGGCUGAGAAAGCCAUGGGGAGCAAGCCAGUAAGCAGAACUCCUCCAUGGACUCUGCAUCAGCUCCUGCCAUCGGGUUCCCGCCCUGCUUGAGUUCCUGCCCUGACUUGCUUUUUUGUCAUGGUGUUUCAUCAUAGCAGUAGACUAUGCCUGUCCUGACUAAGACAGAGUCUCAGGGGAGAAAUGGCCCAUGCCAUCCAUGGAUGACAUGUGUCUGUCUACAGACAACAGAGAAGCAACACACACUCAUCUUACACCAUCCAGCCAUUAGGAAGAAGCGUUCAGACACCCGCUGCAUCUGGGUGAACCCAGACGACACUGUGCUGAGCACUAUGAGCAAGGCACGCAGGACGAAUAGUGUUUGAUGCUGCUGGUGCUGAGGUCUCUAGGUCACCUUCAUAGAGUCAGCAGGUUGAACUGGGUAGGGUGGUGUUACUGAGCACAGACCUUCAUUACAAGGUGAAAGGUUCUGGAGAUGAUGGUGGGUCCUAGGGAGUACUCUUCUCUAAAGAGUGGUCAAAGCCGGGUGUGGUGGCGCACGCCUUUAAUCCCAGCACUCGGGAGGCAGAGGCAGGCGGAUUUCUGAGUUUGA
rnacentral:lncRNA from 1 species